GGGUACAUCAGCGGCGAACGGGUGAGUACACGUGGGUGACCUUCCCCAAAGACGGGGAUAACUCUUGGAAACAGGGGCUAAUACCCGAUGUGCUCAGCAGUUCACUCUGUAGAUUAAAGCUAUGGCGCUUUGGGAUGGGCCCGCGGCCCAUCAGCUAGUUGGUAGGGUAAAGGCCUACCAAGGCUAAGACGGGUAGGGGGCGUGAGAGCGCGAUCCCCCACACUGGCACUGAGACACGGGCCAGACUCCUACGGGAGGCAGCAGUGAGGAAUAUUGCUCAAUGGACGAAAGUCUGACGCAGCGACGCCGCGUGGGCGAUGAAUGCCUUCGGGUCGUAAAGCCCUUUUCUGUGGUGAAGAGAAAGGACGGUACCCCAGGAAUAAGCCCCGGUUAACUACGUGCCAGCAGCCGCGGUAAAACGUAGGGGGCAAGCGUUAUCCGGAUUUACUGGGCGUAAAUAGCGUUGAGGCGGUUUAUGUAAGUUGGGCUUGAAAGCCCUGGGCUUAACUCAGGGAAGCCGUUCAAUACUGCGAAACUUGAGGGCAUCAGAGGGAUGUGGAAUUCCCGGAGUAGCGGUGAAAUGCGUAGAUAUCGGGAGGAACACCAGUGGCGAAGGUGGACUCCUGGGCUGUUCCUGACUCUGAAGUGCGACAGCUAGGGGAGCGAACGGGAUUGGAAACCCCGGUAGUCCUAAGCACGUAAACGAUGGAUGCUAGCUAUGGGGGAUUGUAGAUUCCCUCCGUGCUGCAGUUAACGCGUUAAGCAUCCCGCAUGGGGAGUACGGCCGCAAGGCUAUUACUCAAACGAAUUGACGGGGGCCUGCACAAGCAGCGGAGCGUGUGGUUUAAUUCGAUGCUACACGAAGAACCUUACCUGGGCUUGACAUACAGGUAGUAGUGAAGUGAAAGCGGAUCGAUCCUUCGGGGAGCCUGUACAGGUGCUGCAUGGCUGUCGUCAGCUCGUGCCGUGAGGUGUAGGGUUAAGUCCCGUAACGAGCGCAACCCUUGCUCUUAGUUAUACGUGUCUAAGAGGACUGCCGGCGGUAAGCCGGAGGAAGGUGGGGAUGACGUCAAGUCAGCAUGGCCUUUAUGUCCAGGGCUACACACACGCUACAAUGGCCGGUACAAUGGGUAGCUAAACCGCGAGGUGGAGCCAAUCCUGUAAAGCCGGUCUCAGUUCGAAUUGCAGGCUGCAACUCGCCU
rnacentral:rRNA from 1 species